rnacentral:rRNA from 1 species
UACGUAGGGUGCGAGCGUUGUCCGGAAUUAUUGGGCGUAAAGGGCUCGUAGGCGGUCUGUCACGUCGGGAGUGAAAACUCAGGGCUUAACCCUGAGCCUGCUUCCGAUACGGGCAGACUAGAGGUAUGCAGGGGAGAACGGAAUUCCUGGUGUAGCGGUGAAAUGCGCAGAUAUCAGGAGGAACACCGGUGGCGAAGGCGGUUCUCUGGGCAUUACCUGACGCUGAUGCGCGACAGCAUGGGGGAGCAAACAGG